rnacentral:rRNA from 1 species
AUUGAACGCUGGCGGCAUGCUUUACACAUGCAAGUCGAGCGGCAGCGCGGGGGGCAAACCCUGGCGGCGAGCGGCGAACGGGUGAGUAAUGCAUCGGAACGUACCCUGGAGUGGGGGAUAACGCCGCGAAAGCGGCGCUAAUACCGCAUAUGCUCUGAGGAGGAAAGUGGGGGACCUGCAAGGGCCUCACGCUCUGGGAGCGGCCGAUGUCCGAUUAGCUAGUUGGUGGGGUAAAGGCCCACCAAGGCGACGAUCGGUAGCUGGUCUGAGAGGAUGAUCAGCCACACUGGGACUGAGACACGGCCCAGACUCCUACGGGAGGCAGCAGUGGGGAAUUUUGGACAAUGGGGGCAACCUGAUCCAGCCAUGCCGCGUGCGGGAAGAAGGCCUUCGGGUU